rnacentral:rRNA from 1 species
CGGGUUAAGGGAAGUCCUGUGUGAAGCUGGGAGGACCACCUCCCAAGGCUAAAUACUAACUGGUGACCGAUAGUGCACUAGUACCGUGAGGGAAAGGUGAAAAGUACCCCGGGAGGGGAGUGAAAUAGUACCUGAAACCGUGUACCUACAAGCAGUGGAAGCCCGAUGCUCUCAACUUUAGUUGAGAGCCGGGUGACCGCGUGCCUUUUGUAGAAUGAGCCGGCGAGUUACGCUAACCAGCCAGGUUAAGCAGCUGCUGCUGCGGAGCCGUAGCGAAAGCGAGUCUGAAUAGGGCGUCUUAGUUGGUUGGCGUAGACCCGAAACCGGGUGAUCUAUCCAUGGCCAGGGUGAAGCCUGUCUAACCGCAGGUGGAGGCCCGCACCCACUAAUGUUGAAAAAUUAGGGGAUGAGCUGUGGAUAGGGGUGAAAGGCCAAUCAAACCCGGCGAUAGCUGGUUCUCCUCGAAAUAGCUUGAGGGCUAGCCUCAAACGUUGUCCCAGGGAGGUAGAGCACUGAAUGGACUAAGGGCCCUACCAGGUUACUGAACCCAAUCAAACUCCGAAUACCCUGGGUACUAGUUUGGGAGUCAGACUGCGGGGGAUAAGCUCCGUAGUCGAGAGGGAAACAACCCAGACCAUAAGCUAAGGUCCCCAAGUGCAGACUAAGUGGUAAAGGAAGUUGAAUUACCCAGACAGCCAGGAUGUUGGCUCAGAGGCAGCCAUCAUUUAAAAAGUGCGUAACAGCUUACUGGUUAAGUGAUUCUGCACCGAAAAAUGUACGGGGCUAAGUCUGCCACCGAAGCUGUGGAUACAGAGGUCAGUGUUCAGAGGUCAGAGGUCGGAAAGGGAAAGUAAGAGUGAUAAGACACUAUAGUGAUUUAAGGAUAUAUCAAAUAUCGUAUAGAUUAGCACUACUGAUUCACCAUAUGACUCAGCAAUUUCCGGACUUCGAGAGAUAUGAACUAUCUUCACAAUUAAGAAGAGCUGCUAUAUCUAUACCACUUAAUAUAGCAGAGGGUUAUGGUAAGAAACAUUCCCAAGCAGAUUUCAAAAGAUUCCUGAAUAUUGCCUUGGGAUCUAAUAAUGAGGUAAAGGUGUUAUUAGAUUUCAGCAAGGACUUGGGAUAUCUCAAGGAAUCAGUUUAUGAAGAGAUGACCAAUCAGUAUGAUGAGUUGGGUAGACAGAUCUAUUCACUUCUGAGUAAGUGGAAAUAGUCUCUGACUUCUGACCUCUGACUACUGACCUCUGUCUGGUAGAGGAGCGUUCCCUUGAGGUAGAAGGGUUACCGAAAGGAGGCCUGGACUUAAGGGAAGUGAGAAUGCCGGCAUGAGUAACGAGAAGGCAAGUGAGAAUCUUGCCCGCCGAAAACCUAAGGUUUCCUGGGGAAGGUAAGUCCGCCCAGGGUUAGUCGGGCCCUAAGCCGAGGCCGAAAGGCGUAGGCGAUGGAUAACCGGUUAAUAUUCCGGUACUACCAACUGAUCGCUAUGGAGUGAUGGGGUGACCCAGGAGGGUAGGUCAGCACGAUAAAAGUUCCGUGUCCAAGCCCCCAGAGGGAAGAGACAGGCAAAUCCGUCUCUUUGUUAACCUCCAGAGGUGAUGGGGAGCUGCUACGGCGGCGAACUGAUUGAGCCCACACUGGCCAGAAAAACCUCUAACCAGAUCAGCUGGUAUCCGUACUAAAACCGACACAGGUAGGUAGGUAGAGCAUACCGAGGCGCUCGAGAGAACCCUCGUUAAGGAACUCGGCAAAAUGACUCCGUAACUUCGGGAGAAGGAGUGCCUCCUUAGGGUGAGUUGUUUUACAUAACAAGCCCGAAGAGGCUGCAAUAAAACGGCCCAAGCGACUGUUUACUAAAAACACAGGUCUCUGCAAAAUCGUAAGAUGAGGUAUAGGGACUGACGCCUGCCCGGUGCUGGAAGGUUAAGGAAGGGAGUUAGCUGACUCGCAAGGGUCAGGGAAGCUUCUGACCAAAGCCCCAGUAAACGGCGGCCGUAACUAUAACGGUCCUAAGGUAGCGAAAUUCCUUGUCGGGUAAGUUCCGACCCGCACGAAUGGCGUAACGAUUUGGGCACUGUCUCAACGAGGGACUCGGUGAAAUUGUAAUGCAAGUGAAGAUGCUUGCUACCCGCGACAGGACGGAAAGACCCCGUGAACCUUUACUAUAGCCUGAUAUUGAAUUUUAGCAUUCCCUGUGUAGGAUAGGUGGGAGGCACUGAACAGGAGGCGCCAGCCUUCUGGGAGCCAACCUUGAAAUACCACCCUCGGUCUGUUGAGAUUCUAACCCCAGGCCGUUAGCCGGCUGGGGGACCGUAUUUGGUGGGUAGUUUGACUGGGGCGGUCACCUCCUAAAGAGUAACGGAGGUGUCCCAAGGUCUCCUCAGUGUGUUUGGAAAUCACACUAAAGAGUAUAAGGGCAUAAGGAGGCUUGACUGUGAGAGAGACAUCUCGAGCAGAUGCGAAAGCAGGGCCUAGUGAUCCGGCGGUAGCUGGUGGAUGUGCCGUCGCUCAUCGGACAAAAGGUACUCCGGGGAUAACAGGCUGAUCUCCCCCAAGAGUCCACAUCGACGGGGAGGUUUGGCACCUCGAUGUCGGCUCGUCGCAUCCUGGGGCUGAAGCAGGUCCCAAGGGUUUGGCUGUUCGCCAAUUAAAGCGGUACGCGAGCUGGGUUUAGAACGUCGUGAGACAGUUCGGUCCCUAUCCGUCGCGGGCGUGGGAUACUUGAGAGGGUCUGCCUCUAGUACGAGAGGACCGAGGUGGACGAACCGCUGGUGUACCAGUUGUCCUGCUCAGGGCAUUGCUGGGUAGCUAUGUUCGGUUGGGAGAAACGCUGAAAGCAUCUAAGCGUGAAACCCGCCUCAAGAUGAGGUAUCCAUCUGGCUUGAAGCCAGGAGAGAUCCCGGGAAGAAGACCCGGUUGAUAGGUCAGCUGUGGAAGACCAGUAAUGGUUUGAGCUAACUGAUCCUAAUAGAUCGAAGGCUUGACCGUAUCUCUCUAGAAUAGUAUACCGUAUAACGUAUAUGGUAUAUCGUGAAGAAAAUAUGAUGAGUAAGUAAGAUGGUUUUCAGUUUUCAGUUUUCAGUUUACAGUGGAAGAAUAAAGAAAACAUACUCACAGACUUCUUUUCUUUAAUCUUUAACUAAUAACUAUAAACUACUAAGAUAGUAUUGAGUCGUGAGUAUCGAGUAUCAAGUCUGAAGAAUUGCUACUCACAGGUUUCUUGUCUUGAACUAACUACUAACGACUAAAUACCAGAUACUGUAUUUAACUAAAAACUAAUAACUAGCUUGCCUUUCUGUUUAUUUCGGUUUCCCGGUGGUCAUAGCGGAGGGGAACCACCUGUUCCCAUCCCGAACACAGUAGUUAAGCCCUCCAGCGCCGAUGGUACUGCAGGUUUAUCCUGUGGGAGAGUAGGACACUGCCGGGAAUUUUUUAUUGGAGGGGAAUGAUGGGACUCAGGAUUAUAUCAUUUGAUGUUGAUGGAACUUUAGUGGAUCCUGAUUACAAUGACCUAAUCUGGCUACAGGUAUUACCAGAGAUGGUUGCUGAAAAAGAGAAUAUUGAUUUUGAUACCGCCUUAAAAAGAGUCCAGCAUGAAUAUGACCGACUUGGAGAAAAAGAUUUUCGAUGGUAUGACCUUAAUUAUUGGCUUAAUUAUUUUCAAAUUGAUGUUGAUUACCAAAAAUUAUUAGAGCAGUAUGAGCAUAAAAUAAAGAUAUUUUCAGAAGUUCCUGAUGUUUUGGAACAAUUAUCUUCUAAUUAUCAGUUGAUUUGUACCUCUACUAUGCCUCGUGAAUUUAUGGAAAUAAAGAUAAAAAAAAUUAAAAAAUAUUUUCAAAGCACCUUUUCUACUCUAACAGAUUACAAGCAAUUAAAAGGGGAAAAGGUCUAUAAUAAAAUAAGCCAGAGAUUAGAGGUUAUACCUCAGAUGAUAUUACAUAUUGGUGACCAUGAAAAACUGGACUAUUUUGCUGCUCGGGAAGCAGGGUGGAAUGCUAUAUUAAUAGAUCGUUAUCACUCAGGCUUUCAGAAUAAAUAUCCCGAUUCUGUAAUUCAUAACUUAUCAGAUAUUUUUGAUAAGAUAAAAUUAUUCUCAUGAGGUAAUUAAUGCCAGAACUGCCCGAGGUAGAAACCAUAAGAAGGGAUCUAGAAAAAAAAGUAAUCAAUAAGAGGAUUAACAAAAUAAAAGUUAACUUGCCCAGGCUUAUAAAAAAACCUACUAUAGAUGAAUUCAGCAGGAGAUUAAAGGGUACUUAUAUAACAAAAGUAAGCAGGAGAGGAAAAUAUAUUUUAUGUUUUUUAAACAGUGGGGAAUGUCUGGUUUUUCACCUGGGAAUGAGUGGUUGUCUCUUAUAUGAGACAAAUGAGUUACCUAUAUCAAUAAUAGAUAUUAACAAAAAACACUUUCAUGUUUUUUUCUUUUUUGAAGAUAAUACUAAGAUGAUUUAUAAUGAUGUAAGGCAAUUUGGUAAAAUAUGGUUACUUAAAAAAGAUGAUAAAUUAACAGAAGUCGAAUCUUUAGGAUUAGAACCAUUAGAAGAAGACUUUACUAUUGAUAAGUUCACCAGAAUUAUUGAAAACAAAAAAAGUAAUAUUAAAUCUUUAAUAAUGAAUCAGAAGCAUAUUGCUGGUAUAGGGAAUAUCUACGCCAAUGAAAUACUCUUCCGGGCAGGAAUUCAUCCUUUGCGCAGAAGCAAUUCUUUAACUACUCAUGAAAUUAAAAAAUUAUAUUACUCUAUAAAGGACACCUUAGCGAAAGCGGUAUUGGCCAGGGGAACGACAAUGGCUGAUGAGUCUUAUCGUGAUUUAGAUGGUAAAAGUGGCAAUUAUGCCGAAGCAAUUAUGGUUUAUGGUAAGAAGAAAGGUAAUUGCCCACUUUGUGGGAGACCUUUAACCAUAAUCAGAAUUGAAAAUAGAAGUACUUAUCUCUGUACUUUCUGUCAAAAAUGAAAAGCCGGUAAAAUUGGGAAGGGAAAAAAUAUAGUAGUCAUGGAAAAAGUUGUUUUUUUAGGAACCAGCGCCGGCAUGCCUACCAAAAAAAGAAAUGUUCCCUCAUGUGCUCUUAUUUUUAAGACUACUGGUGAAUUCUGGUUAUUUGAUUGUGGCGAAGGAACCCAACAUCAGAUUCAUAAUGCUGGCUUAAAAUUGUCAAAAUUGACCAAUAUUUUUAUAAGUCACUUACAUGGAGACCAUAUCUUUGGGCUUCCUGGUUUAUUAGCUACCCGAGGUCUUCUGGGAAUUAAAAAAAGCAUUAAUAUUUUUGGACCAAUUGGUUUGGAAAAUUAUCUAAAAAAUAAUUUUGACUAUUCCUGCACUCAUAUCCCUUAUUUUUAUCAUAUUUAUGCUAUCGAAAAAGAAAAUUACCUUUCUAGUAACUUGCUAUGGAAGAAUGAAAAUAUAUCCGUUUACUGUGCCUUACUUAAUCAUUAUCUGGAUAGUUUUGGAUAUGCAAUUAUAGAGAAAAAUAUAAAAAGAAAUAUACUGGUGGAAAAGUUAGUAAAAUUGGGUGUACCACCAGGACCCAUUUAUAAAAAAUUUAAAGAAAAUGGAAUAAUUAAUCUUAAUGAUGGAAUGGUGUUAAAGGCUGAUGAUUUUAUCAAAGAGUCAAUAAGCAUAAAAAAAUUAUGUUACUGCGGAGACACCACCUUUUCUAACAAUGCUGUUAUCCUUGCCCAAGAAGCUGAUUUACUUAUUCAUGAAGGAACAUUCUGUUCUAAAAGAAAACAGGAAGCAAAGCAGAGCUAUCAUUCUACAAUUGAAGAGGCGAUCAAAGUAGCACGAUUAGCGAGGGUAAAGAAAUUGGCCAUAACUCACCUCAGUCCCAGAUAUCAUGAUUUAAAAGAAAAUGCUGAAAAUUUUUUAGAAUUAAAAAAAGCCACCCGGGAACAAUACCCUGAAGUUAUUUUGGCUGAGGAUUUUUUAGAGAUAAAAAUAUAACUUAUAGCUAAAAAAUUACCAAAUUUGUCAGUAAAUAAGACUUGAAUUUUAUCAUUAUUUAGGUUAUCUUAUAGUAUCGGAAUUCCAAAGAAAUUCGAUGCUAUAACUAAUCAUUUCUUAAAUUAAGGAACAAUAUACGUUAAGCUAAGUUUUAAGAUAGAGUAUAAUUCCUAUAAUUUUAUCCUUAAUUUAGAUAAUAUGAUAUUCUAGUACUAUAUCCUUCUCCCUUAAGGGGAGAGGGGAGGGUGAGGGUGAAUAUGGUAUACCGUAUUACGUAUAACGUAUAUCGUUAAAUUUAGUCGUUAGUUGUUAGUAUCUGGUAUUUAGUUUGCCUAUUGCUUAUUACUUAUUACUGGUUACUUAUUACUGAAUUAGCUUCUGGCAAUGACAAAAUGGUAUACGGUAUUACGUAUAACGUAUAUCGUUGAAAUACAGUUGCUAGUCUUAAGUUAUUUCAGGGGUUAUCAAGGGGAAGAAUUCCCCUUGAAUAUCUUGAAAGGUUUUAAUUAAGCUAAUUUGCUGUAGAAAAAAAGGAGAAAGAACUAUCCAAUAUAGGAGGUGAAAUAGUUUGAAGGCAACCGUUGAUCAGGAUCUUUGUACUGGAUGUGGGCUUUGCGAAAGCACCUGUCCCGAGGUUUUUGAAUUACAGGAUGAUGUAGCAACUGUUAAGGUUGAUGUUGUUCCUAAAGAUGCAGAAGAAUCCUGCCAGCAAGCAGCUGAAGAUUGUCCUGUUGAGGCUAUUAGCUGCGAAUAAUUUAUUUAUUAAUAUUUAUUAAUAAAGGAAGAGGAAUAUUAACCUCUUCCUUUAUUAAUUUUCUCCCAUUAAUUAACCCUUGUUGGUUUUAUCCUACCUGAAGUAAGAAAGAGUAUAAUUACCAUAAUUAUUAUUUAUUAAAUAAGUAACAAUAUAUUUUGCUUUUAAUUUGGGGGUUUUCAAGGGGAAGAAUUCUUUAUAAUAUUAAGAUAGUAAUUAAGAUAGUAAAUAGUGCUUACUGAGUUAUUAUAAGAAAGUAAUUUAUUAUGGAAGUAAAUAAAAGGAAAGCCAUUGCACUCUAUUCCGGCGGAUUAGAUAGCAUACUGGCAAUUAAAAUAAUAUUGGAUCAAGAUAUUGAGGUAAUAGGAGUAUACUUUAAAACACCAUUUACCAAAGAUGAACCAGACUUGUAUGGAAAAAAAUAUUUAAACAUACCUAUUCUCAUUGAAAAUAUCAGUAAUGAUUUUUUGAAAAUCUUAUUUAAUCCUAAACAUGGAUUUGGGAAAAAUAUCAAUCCCUGUAUCGAUUGUCGUAUUUUGAUGUUUCAAAAGGCAGGUGAGUUAAUGGCUCGAGAAAAAGCCUCUUUUAUAAUUAGCGGAGAGGUACUGGGGCAGAGACCUAUGACUCAGAAUAAAAAGAGCCUAUUAAUGAUUAGUGAGGAAUCCGGAUAUGGAAAAUAUAUUGUAAGACCUCUAUCUGCUUUGUUAUUACCGGAGACUGAAGUGGAAAAACAGAAUAUAGUUGACCGUUCAAAAAUGAUGGAUAUUGAGGGACGUUCCAGAAAACGACAGAUAGCCAUAGCAACUCAAUGGGGAAUUAAAGACUAUCCUACUCCAGCGGGAGGUUGUAAAUUGACCGAGCCUGGUUUUGCCAGGAGAAUGAGAGAUUUAUUAGAUAAGGGAAAAUUAGUGGAGAAUGAUAUAGAGCUAUUAAAAGUAGGUCGACAUUUUAAUAUUCAAAAAUAUGCAAAAUUAAUAGUGGGCAGGAAUGAAAGAGAAAAUAGAAUGAUACUCACCCUCGCUCGCUCCCAGGAUUAUCUGUUAAGUUCAGAAAAGCACAAAGGGCCUAUUUCUUUGUUGCGUUUUUAUGUUGACUCAGAGCUUAAAGGAGAUGAGUUAGAAAAAAUAUUAGAUGUUGCUGGUAAAAUUACUGCCAGGUAUUGUGAUAAAGAGCAAGAUACAGAUUUGGUCGAUAUCAAUAUCUGUAGGCAAAAUAGGAUAGUUAAACAGCUAAAACAGGUAUCCUCGUUGUCUCAGCAACUCAUAGAUCUUUAUCUUAUUUGAAUUCAGGAUUGAUAUAUGGAAAAAGCUAAUAGUGUUUUAGUAGCAUUAAGUGGUGGAGUUGAUAGUAGUAUUGCUGCCUUUUUGUUAAAAGAGAAGGGAUUUGAAGUAGCCGGGAUUUAUUUUCAUUUAAUUGAUAAGGAACAAUACCCAAAGUCGCUAAAUUCAAAUCAACAUGAUUACUUUAACAAUGAAGAAAGAGUACAAAUAAUAGCUCAAAAGUUAAAUAUACCACUAUAUAAAGUCGAUUAUCGAGAAGAUUUUCGAAAAAUUAUAAUUUUAGACUUUGUUGAACAAUAUCAAAAAGGAUUAACUCCCAAUCCUUGUGUUUACUGUAAUGAAAAAGUAAAAUUUAAACUACUUCUUGAGUAUGCUUUAAAAAAUAAAAUUGAAUCAAUUGCUACCGGUCAUUAUGCCAAGGUGGAAUUAGAUAGAAAACAGAAUAAAUAUCUUUUAAAAAGAGGAGGGGAUAGAAAAAAAGAACAAUCCUAUUUUCUUUAUAGACUAAGUGAAUCUAUUCUUGCUCAAUGUAUAUUUCCACUUGGUAAUCUCAGUAAAAAAGAUACGGAAAAAAUAGCCCAGGAGAUAGGCUUAACAGACUAUAUCCUCAAGGAAAGUCAGGAAAUAUGCUUUAUUCCGGGAAAUGAUUAUCGCCAUCUAAUUGCCUAUGUUGGGAAAAUAAAAAAUCAGGCAGGAUAUUUUCUUGAUUCUAAAGGUAAUAUCUUAGGAAAGCAUAAAGGGAUAGCUUAUUAUACCAUUGGUCAAAGGAGAAAAAUUGGUUUAUCUUUAAAUUCCAGAAAAUAUAUUCUUAAGAUUAAUCCCCAGGAUAAUACAGUAGUAAUUGGAGAUGAAAUGGAAUUAUAUCGACAGGAAUUUGAGGUAACAGAAGUUAAUUAUAUUUAUUCAAACCCCAUUUUAAGACCCACUAAAUUAUUAGUGCAGAUUAGGUAUAACACUCCUGCAGUCUGGGCUAUGGUAUAUCCCAAUGGUGAAAAGGAGCUGAAGGUGAUAUUUGAUAAACCUCAAAGAGCAAUAACUCCUGGUCAAUCUGCAGUUUUUUAUGACCAGGAUGUUGUUUUAGGUGGUGGUAUUAUUAAGCCAUUUUUAAUUCAGUGAUAACUACUCACCUGUAAAGGCAGGUGGAAGAAGUAUAGGAUAUUUAGAUACGCACUGUUUUUAGAGAAUCCUGUUCCCUGCAUUAAAAUUUUUCUAAAGAGGAUUAUUGAGAGAUAAACUCAAAACAGAUUAUGCACUUGUAAUAUUUUAAUCCCCAUAAUAUUUUAUAAUAUUUAUUGGAACCCCCAAAAAAUUUGAUACUAUAAAUAGAUUUUAAGCUAAGUAUAAUCCUCAUAAUUUUUAAAUUUAAGUCAAAAAAAGAAUCUAUAAUAAAAAAUGUUGACAGAUUCUAUUACCAUCUAUAUAAUGUAUACAAAAAUGUAUACAUUAAUUUUAAAUAUAGAAAUUUUUCUAUAUUUUUUAACUAACUUUUAAACUAUAUACUAGAUACUAUAUACUCAAUACUAAUAAUUCAGGGGUUUUCAAGGGGAAUCCUUUCCCUUGAAUAUCGGAAUUUCUCCGAAAUUACGAUAGUAUUAAAUAUAAAAGAUAAUCGAUUAAAGAACAGAUAAUAAAUAGAAUGAUAUCUAUCGAUCUUAAUCUUAUAAUCAGGGGUUUUCAAGGGGAAGGAUUCCCCUUGAAUAUCGGAAUUUCUCCGAAAUUACGAUAGUAUUAAAUAUAAAAGAUAAUCGAUUAAAGAACAGAUAAUAAAUAGAAUGAUAUCUAUCGAUCUUAAUCUUAUAAUCAGGGGUUUUCAAGGGGAAUCCUUCCCCUUGAAUAUAAAUAUGUUAUGAAGUUGAUUAGAAUUGGAGAGAAGGUAAUAUCGGAAGACAAACUAGAGCAAGAAAUUACCAGGAUUCUCAAAUUACGAACAGAGGGAUUAACGCAGGGAGAGGUUGCCAGAAAAUUAGGGAUUGAAAGGACCUUUGUUUCUAGAUUAGAGAGUUUAGGAGAAAUUAGAAAAGGUAAAAAGAUUGCCUUAGUUGGUUUUCCUAUCAAGAAUAAGCAAGAAUUACUUUUGCUUGCUGAAAGAUUUGGUAUUGAUUAUACUUUGAUUUUAACCCAGCAGGAACGUUAUGAUUUUAUGGAGAAAAGGAAUAAAAUAGAACUUUUUAAUGACAUUCUUGCUAUUAUUACUCAUUUACUUGAUUUUGAUGUAAUUAUAUUUUUAGGCUCUAAUAAAAGAGUUGAUUUUGCUGAAAAAUUGUUUAGCAUUCAGGUAAUUGGUAUUGAAAUCGGUGAAUCACCAAUUACGGAAGACCAAUAUGUAAAACCGGAAGUACUUGAAAAUAUCUUCCAAGAAAUAAAGAUUUUUUCCACACACAGGAGUAUAAAAAAAUGAAGAAGGUACUGGGUGUUAGUUUAGGUUCCUCCACUCGAGAUCACAAAGUUAGAGUUGAAAUAUUAGGACAGGAGGUAGAGAUUGAAAGAAGAGGAACUGAUGGCGAUGUUAAAAAGAUGAUGCAAAUAUAUCAAGAGUUUGAUGGAAAAGUAGACGUAUUUGCUUUAGGAGGGACCGAUCUCUAUCUUUAUUCUGGUCCGGCUGGUAAAAGGUACACCAUUAAAGAAUCAGCCAGGAUUGUUAAGGUAAUCAAAAAAACACCAAUAGUAGAUGGUACUGGUAUUAAAUAUGUGUUAGAAAAAGAAGUCAUAAAAUAUAUUAGUCAAAAUACUGAUAUUAAACUUCAAGGGAAAAAGGCUUUGUUAUUAAUUACUGUUGAUCGAUUCGGAUUAGCUGAAGGUCUUCUUGAAGCGGGAUGUAAGAUGAUUUUUGGUGACCUUAUCUUCUCUCUUAAUAUUCCUAUUCCACUUUAUAAUUUAGAAACAUUGAGUAAAAUAGCAAAAAUAGCUAUUCCCAUUUUAGUUAAUUUACCUAUCAAAUACUUAUACCCUACUGGUAACAAACAGGAAAGUAGUAAUCCAAAAUAUAGCCGUUUUUUUGAUGAUGUGGAUAUCGUGGCUGGUGAUUAUCUUGCUAUCAGUCAGUAUAUGCCUCUCAAGAUGGAAGGUAAGAUAGUGAUUACCAACACUGUUACUUUAAAGAAUAUUCAAGAUUUAAAAGAUAGAGGAGUAAGCUACCUUAUUACUACUACUCCAGAAUUUGAAGGAAGGUCUUUUGGUACCAAUGUUUAUCAAGCUAUUUUGGUUGCCAUCUCCGGAAGGAAGCCGGAGGAACUAAGUGGAGAGGACUAUCUAGAACUGGCGAAAAAAUCUGGUUUUAAACCUCGGAUUGAACAAUUAAAUUGAAUAUUUAUUAAGUUAAAAGAUAAAAAUUAUUAAUAAUAAACGAUAAAUAUCAUUAUCUUUAUUAGAAAGCGGGGGAAAAAAUAAUGACUAUAUCAUUAGAACAAAGAAUUAAAGAAACAAAUGAGAGGGCCAGUAGAAUGAGGGAAAAUAAGACCUUCUUUUAUUUAAAAAGCAUUGAAGGUUCUUCUGGUCCUAGAGUCCAUAUUGAUGGUCGUGAGAUGAUUAUGUUUGCUUCUUACAACUAUUUAGGCCUGAUAUCUCACCCCAGGGUGAAAGAAGCGGCAAAAAGAGCAAUUGAUGAAUAUGGCACUGGAGCAGCUGGUGUUCGACUACUAGCAGGUACUACCAAGGCUCAUGAAGAGCUGGAAGAAAAGAUUGCCCAAUUCAAAAAGACUGAAGAUGCUGUAACCUAUAGCAGUGGUUAUGUUACUAAUUUAGCUGCUAUUACUACUCUGUGUCAGAGAGGCGAUUUGGUUAUUAUGGAUAAAUUGGACCAUGCCAGUAUCAUUGAUGGUUGUAUAUUGUCCGGUGCUAACCAUCGUAGUUUUUUACAUAAUAAUAUGGAAAGUUUAGAAAAUAUAUUAGCUCAAGCAGAUCACUAUCAGAAUAAGCUUAUAGCCGUAGAUGCUGUUUAUAGUAUGGAUGGUGAUAUAGCAAAUCUACCUGAGCUUUCCAGAUUAGCGAAGAAAUAUAAUGCUAAACUUAUGGUAGAUGAAGCUCAUUCUAUUGGAGUAAUUGGUGAGACUGGGCAUGGUAUAGAAGAACAUUUUGGUUUAGAAAAUUCAAUAGAUAUCUACAUGGGUACUUUAAGUAAGACAAUUCCCUCUAUUGGUGGUUAUUUAGCCGGGGAUAAGGAUUUAAUUAGUUUCCUUAAAUUAUCUUCUCGACCAUUUAUAUUUUCAGCAAGCCUUCCCCCUGUUGCCGUAGUUACCGCAAAAGCCUGUUUUGAGGUGAUAGAAAGUGAACCAGAGUUAGUCAAGCAAUUACAAAGAAAUAUUAAGCAUUUUCGAGAAGGAUUAAAGAAGUUAGGUUAUAAUACUGGUCAAAGCCAGACAGCAAUUGUUCCCAUCAUGGUGGGGGAGGAAGAAAAAACACUACAAUUAUGUAGAAUAGUUAAUGAAGAGGGUGUCUUUAUAUGCCCUAUCUUAUUUCCAGCUGUGCCCAAAGGUACCAAUAGGUUAAGAGCGCAUGUGCUGGCCACUCAUACCCCAGAGGAUAUAGAAAAAGCUCUUCAUAUCUUUGAGCAAGCCGGUAAAUCUUUAGGAAUUAUCUAAGUACAGAAUAUUCUCAGACCCUCACCCUAAUCCUCUCCCUUCGAAGGAGAGGGUGAUGAGUUUUUAUUUAUAAUUAGCUUGGAUAGAUAGUGUAAAAUUUUAGUAGGUGUUUUCUAAGUAAUCACUUGCCAAGAGGUCAACAAAAAAGGUAGACUUACCUCAUAGAACAAAACUAAAGAAAAAGAAGAGACCUUCUUUUUCUAAAUUAAGGAGGUAAAUCUACCUAAUGAAAGAAUUACAGUUAACCAUUACCUUACCGUCUCUACAAGUGACUAUACCAGAAGACCAAGUCAAUUUCCAGUAUCUGGAGAAAUUUGUUUUUCAAUUAGUCAAAAUCAUAGGUCAGCAUAUUCUAACUGAGAUACUCCAGUUCCUUGACAACAGAUUAAGGGAAGAAAGGCAAAGGGGAGAACUUUCCAACUGUGGAAAGCGCCGCAAAUAUCUUCUUACCCUCUUAGGCAAUAUCACCUACCAGAAGCAUCUCUACCAGGAUAAAGAGGGCCAAUACCAUUGUCUUUUGGAUGAGAAGCUGGGCUUAAAGUCCAAUCAGCGGAUGAGCACGCCUUACCAGAAGAUUACCGGCCUAUUCUCCUUCACCGCCGGCAGCUACCGUAAUGCCCAGAGAUUUCUGGAAUACUGCUAUGGGGAUUCAGUAAGCUUUGAGACUAUCCGCCAACAGGUACAACGCCAGGGAAGCCAGAUUCAAAGACAAGAAGCAGAGGCCUUUGACCAACAAUUAGAGGAGACCCUAAGGCCAACCACCACAUUCACUCCCAAAGCCUCCUCGGGAGAGACCCUCUAUCUGGAGGUAGACGGUACCAUGAUUCACCUGCAGCAACAAAAAAAGAAAAAGGCAGAACUAAAAUUAGCUAUCAUCCACAGAGGUAAAGAAAAGAGGUAUCCUGCAGGAAACUCAGAGGCCAAAAAGCUCAAAGAUAAAUUAGCCUAUGCCGGUCUUGGCCCAGCUGAUGAGUUCAUGGCCCAGGUGAGCUUACUUGCCGAUGAGAAAUACCAGCUCUCUGACCAUAACCUCAUCUUGGUAGGAGGAGACGGGGCUACCUGGGGGAAAGAAGGAGCCCAAGAUUAUUUCCCUAAUUCCAUCUAUCAAUUAUGUCCCUUUCACCUAAAACGGAAACUAAUCCAGCAUCUUUCCUAUAACCGAAGGAGAAAAUCUGAAAUUAGUUCACUCUUAGGAGAGGGUAACAUCUCAGAAGCUCUCCUUUUAUUGGAGGAAGAAAAAGACCAGAAUCCCCAGAGAAAAGAUGAACUAAAUGAACUGAUUACCUAUCUUGUCAAUAACGCUGAGGGAAUCAAGGCCAUAGAUCGCUUAAAAGAGAGAGGAUUGCCAGUAGAUACCAUGGGAGCCAUUGAGGGUAAUAUCGAUAAAAUCCUGGCCAAUCGGUUCAAGAAAAGAGGUAUGAGCUGGUCUUUAUCCGGGGCACUCAAUCUAGCCAAGGUAGGACAGUUGAUCAUCAAUAAUGACUGGGACAGCUUUUGGCCUGCUGAGGAAGAGGUAAUCUUCAAGCAGAUAGAACCUAAAAAAGAAGUUCAUCUUGCCCAAGAGGAUAAAUAUGACCGUAAGUAUUCUCUUCCCGUAUUGGUAGGUCCUCAUCAGGAUAGAACCUGGGUAAAACAAUUAAAGGAGUUAGUCAGUAUUUAAUAAAUACAUGGCUUACUCCUCUAGAUCGAUCUUUGAUAAUGGAAUAUAAGUCUUUGGUAAAAGAUAAUCCAGUUUAUCCACCAGCUUAGAAUCAUGAUGAAUCUUAGCAGGUGGACAUAGCCGGCAGAUAUACCCAGCCUUAAAGGAAGUUUAAAAUCCCGGGGAAGAUACUUUAGAUUGUCGGUCAUCUUCUCUAAAGGGGUCUUACCCUCCAGGGUACUGUACCGGUGGUUUUGGUCCUGGAAUCUCAAUUAUCUCCUUCCUCCAGGGCUCCCCUUAAGGGAUAAAGACCGGCGGUAUACCCAGAUAGAGGCAGAGUCUUCUUAACAGAGCGAAUGAAUGGGGAUAACACUUAGAACCCCUCAGAGGAAGCUUAUGGUCCAGCUGUCGAUAUUCUGGGAUACCUAAGACGGUAAAAACAGCGUAUUAGAGAGGCAAUUAUCUCAGUCUUGGUCUGCCUUCUUAGGGGGUUAAGGCAGCACCUGCGGUCAUAGACCUCAAUGGCCUUAGUAAAAUAGAAGCGGCUGUCGGUCCUUAGAUAUCUGGGUCCUACCACCUCAAACUGGAGUUUUCCAGACCAGUAUAGAUGAUUACGGAUAUGGGUGUACAAUAGAUAUGUAUUUAUCAAGUAUUCAUUAAUCAAAGGUUGAAAAAGAAGAAUAUAGGAGUGUAUUAUGUCAAGGUACUGUUAUUAUUGCUGUUUUGCUGUUAGAAUUGACCUAUCAACACUUACACUGUAACUUAAUUUAUUUUCCAUAAUCUUUUGAGGUAAGAAAAAAUACCCACAAGUUGUUGACACGAACGCUUGGAUAACUUUAUUUGACAAUAAAUAAUAAAUACUUUAUAAUUCAGUCAAAAAUCAAUUAUAAUUAAAUUAAAAAAAUAUAUAAAAUUUUAAGUAACUAAGAUAAGAUAAGCUGUGACCGGUAAAUAUAAUAAAUAUCUUGUCUUAGUUUUAAUUUUAUGUUUGUAAUAUCGGAAUUUCAAAGAAAUUCGAUACUAUAAAUUAGUCAUUUCAUAAAUAAAGUACAAAUAUAAUCUUAUAAUUUCCAUAUAAUUUUUAUACCUUGCAGUAUAGGAAUUUCAAAAAAUAUCGAUACUGCAAGAUAAUAUAAAUAUUAUUUAAUAAAUAAUUAACAAUAUGUUUUGCUUUUAAAUCAGGGGUUCUCAAGGGGAAGGAUUCCCCUUGAGAACCUUGAGUAAAAGAGAAUUUAUUUGUUAUAAAAGAUUUUAAAAGACAAGAUAGAAAAGGUAAUAUAGUUAAUAUACUCUUUUGCUUAGUGAGAAUAAUAAGAUGGAAAUGGGAAUAAAGGGGUUUUCAAGGUGAAGAAUUCCCCCUUGAAUAUCUCGAAGGUUAAGGGGCACAAAAAUGAAUGAGCAUAAGUUCAUGCUAACUGAAGAAGGAUUAGAAAAACUUAAAAAAGAAUUAUAUGAACUAAAAACAGUAAAAAGGAAGGAGAUUGCUGAAAAGAUUAGUAAUGCAGUUGCCUUUGGUGAAAUUGCUGAGAAUGCUGAAUAUCGGGCAGCUAAGAAUGAACAGGCAUUUAUUGAAGGACGAAUCCUGACCUUAGAAAAAAUUAUUGAAAAUUGUGAAAUAAUUGAUAAGAGUAAAAAUGACAAUACUUAUGUUUCUCCUGGUUCAGAAGUUGUUGUUGAAGAUCUGAAAAAAAAGGAAAAAAUUACUUAUAUCCUGGUUGAUUAUAUUGAAUCUGACCCAGGUUCUGGCAAAAUUUCUAUAGUCUCUCCCAUUGGUAAAGCGUUAUUGGGUAAAAAAGUUGGAGAUAAGGUUAACAUUAGAGUUCCGGCAGGGAACUUACAUUAUAAAAUAUUAGAGAUAAAAUAAUAUUUUAUGGUAUCGGAAUUUUUUUGAUAUUCCGAUACUAUAAAAUAUUAUUUUUAGAUAAUAAACAAUAUAUUUUUACACUAUCUCUCUAAUCCUCUCCCUUAGAAGUGAGAGGAGAAGAAGAGGAAGUAAGGUAUUUUUCUUUAUUUCUUAACUGUAUUUUACUAUAUACUCAAUACUCGAUACUGAAUACUGAUAAUAGAGGGGUUUCAGGGGAUACUCCCCUUGAAUAUCUUGUUGUUAAGAUAAAUGGACAAGGCAUUAAUUUAUAUUUGUCUUGUUCAUUUUUUAUUUUACUUUUAUUACCUUUAUAUUAUAAAAUAGAUCAGCAAAAUUAUAAUAUCAGCACUAUUAUUAAUUUGCUUAUAAUUUUGGGUAUAAAUUGGGGUAAUCUUUCCUCACCUGCUAAAAGGUAACUAAAGAGGGGACUUACUAAGAGUAAAGGGAGAGGGGAGGGUGAGGUUGCAGCCAACAAAAUAUUUGACCUAACGGGUGAAAGUCCCGUCUUGGUAAUUUAUCCGUUUCGGCCAAAUAGAUAUAUCCGACAUGCUGAACGGUAACGGACAGUAUGAAAGCUCGGAAGUAAACGGCCAGACUGCUUUUGAAGUGGGAACGACUCAGGGGUCUAUCAAUCUGGGAAGCCUUAGCAUAAAGCGAAGACUGCAAACCGAAAUGAACCGCUUGCGUGAAGUCGUUUGCAAGAGUGUUCAGGAGGCCGACCUUUAUUCCUCACGUAGGGAAGGCUGGUACAUCUGAUUCAAUAAACGGAUAUAGAAUCAGGUGCUCCUGCGGAUAACGGGUCAAGGCGUCUCAGAAAAGGUCAGAUAUCAAAGUUGGGAAAGUCCUAUUCAAUAAGGGCUGCUGAUAUAAGUUUAAAAGAAUGAAGUUCAGCAGGCGAAUAGGAUUCUCGGAUGAGCCCAUAGUAGCUGUGAAGUUUCUGUAAUGGAAAUGGAGCAAAGGGGCUCUGGACGAUAAGUUCUACCCAGGGUCACAUCUUCCAGGCUCAGAACUGGACUAAAGAUGGUAACAAAACUGGAGUGGAUAUACUCAAGGUAAACUGGCUUAACCAGGAAGGCGUUGAGAAGAAUUAUCGUUUGAAGCCGUGUAGAGCGAAAUGCCUACGCACGGAAUUUUAGAGGGGGCGGUGGAAAUAGGGUUAUGGUGAACCUAAACGGGCACGAAACUGGAAACGGUGGAUACAGCCAAGGAGAGCCUAAGGUCACUACGCCACUGCUCUACUCGGCGUGAUAAAUAGUUAUCAGUUUGCAGUUAAAUGUUUUCAGAUAAAAGAUGCGGGUAUAAGUGGAUGAGAUUGCUUCGUCGCUUUGCUCCUCGCAAUGACAAAAAUCGUAUACCGUAAUACGUAUAACGUAUAUCGUUAAAAUUAGUCGUUGGUCGUUAGUAUCCGGCAUUUAGUUUGCCUAUUGCUCAUUACUGGUUACUUAUUACUGAAUUGGCUCCUGGCAAUGACCAAAUGGUAUAUCGUAUUACAUAUAACGUAUAUCGUUGAAAUACAGUUGCUAGUCGGAAGUUAUUCUAGGGGAUCUCAAGGAGGAGGAGGAUUCCCUUUGAAUAUCUUGUUUAUGAAACAAGAUAGCAUUUUUUUGAAUUGUAUUUUAAUUGAGGGGUUUCAGAGGGAACCUCCCCUGAAUAUCUUAUAUAAGGAGUGGAGAUUAUUGGCGGAACAGAUUGAAGAAAGAAAAAAUGUUAAUUUGAUUAGAGCAGAAAGAAUAAAAGAAAUUGAAGAGUUAAGGAAGAAAGGAAUUGACCCUUUCGGCAGACGUUUUGCUGGUAAACAGCCAAUUAAGGAAGUAAUUGAAAAAUUCGAUAAAAUUGCCAGUGAAGAACCUUCCAGUGAGAAGGUAGUAAUUGCCGGUAGAAUUAAGGCUUUAAGAAAACAUGGCAAAGCGAUAUUUGCUGAUUUAGAAGACCAGACGGGGAAGUUACAGAUUUAUGUUAAAUCUAACUUUAUUGGCGUUGAUUCAUUUGAAAUAUUUAAAAAGAUCUCAGUAGGAGAUAUUGUUGGCAUUACCGGUUUAGUGUUUAAAACUAGAACCGGUGAGUUAACAGUAUUGGCAACUCUUUUUUCUUUAUUAUGUAAGACCAUACGCACUUUGCCUGAGAAAUGGCACGGAUUAACUGAUACUGAACUAAGAUAUCGUAAACGUUAUUUAGAUCUGAUUAGUAAUCCUGAAACUCGAGAAUUGUUUAUAGAGAGAAGUAAAAUAAUAAGAUAUAUUAGAGAUUUUUUAGAUAAUAAGGGUUAUCUGGAAGUAGAGACACCUGUACUACAACCCAUACCUGGUGGAGCUACUGCUACUCCAUUUGUUACCCACCAUUUUAGUCUUCACCGGGACCUUUACUUGAAAAUUGCUCCUGAACUUUAUUUAAAAAGAUUGUUAGUGGGAGGAAUGGAAAAGGUUUAUGAAUUAAAUCGAAAUUUUCGUAAUGAGGGCAUCUCUACCAAGCACAAUCCUGAAUUUACCAUGUUAGAAUUAUACGAAGCUUAUGCUGAUUAUCAGGUAAUGAUGGAAAUUGCUGAAGAAAUGAUAUGCGAUAUUUUAAAGAAACUGAAAGGAAAUCUGAUUAUUCAAUAUCAAGGGCAAAACAUAGAUUUUACCCCUCCCUGGAAAAAGUUAACUAUGUAUGAAGCAAUAAAAUUAGUUACCGGCAUUAAUCCCCAACAGGUAGAGGAGAAAGAUUUAAGUAUUUUGAUAAAUCAAUUCCAGUUAGAGGUUCCUGAAAAAGCAACCAAAGGUGAGGUUAUCAACGAAUUGUUUGAAAAACAGGUAGAACAUACCUUAGUUCAACCUACCUUUAUUACCGAUUAUCCUAUUGAAGUUUCUCCACUUUCCAAACAAAAACCAGAUAAUCCUCAUCUUGUCGAACGCUUUGAACUUUUUAUCAAUGGUAUGGAAAUUGCUAAUGCUUUUACUGAAUUAAAUGAUCCUAUAGAACAAAAGAGACGUUUUUUACUACAGGCAAAAAAUAAGAGUGAGGGAGAAAUCAAUCAAAAUUUUAUUGACUAUGAUUAUAUUGAGGCAUUAGAGUAUGGAAUGCCUCCUGCUGGUGGGAUGGGGGUUGGCAUUGAUCGAUUGGUAAUGCUUCUCACUAAUCGUGAUUCAAUCCGAGAGGUUAUUCUUUUCCCUCAAUUGAAGAAAAAGGAUUAAAUACAUUAUAAUGGAGAAUAAGCAAGUACAGUCUUGAGGAUUGAUAAAUUUUUAAAGAUAAGCAGAUUGAUUAAAAGAAGAACAGAAGCAAAAUAUGCUUGUGAUAAUAAUUGUAUAAAAAUAAACGGGAAAAUUGCUAAGGCUGGUAAUAUCAUCAAACCUUUCGAUAGAGUUGAGAUUCAAUUCAGAGAUAAAGUGUUAGAAGUAGAGGUUCUAAAAAUACCAGUUGGUAAUAUAUCGGUUUCUACAGCUCAUCAACUAUAUCGAAUUAUUAGAGUAGAGAAGACAGAUUUAGAUUAAUGAGCAAUAUUGUCAAUAGUAUGAACUUUACUUUCUGACCUGAUUAAUAAUUUAUUAGGGUAUUCCUAUGGAAGAGAAAAUGACAGUCGAUAAAAUUAAACAACUUUUGACUGAGAGAAAAUUAGCAGAAUUAAAAGAUUUAGUUGGUGACCUCCAUCCUGCUGAUUUUAGUGAGAUAGCAGAGGAACUUUCUCCUGCCGAGCUCAUAGAGAUAUUCAAACUCAUCCCGGAUCGAGAAAAGAUAGCCGAGUAUAUCUCUAUGUUACCCUUUGAAUUGCAAUCUGAUUUACUUAAGGCCAUGAGCAAAGAGCAAGCCUCUGAGGUCUUAACAGAGAUGGAUACUGAUGAGGCAGUCGAUCUUUUGGCAGAAAUUCCUCCUGAAGAAUCUCGAGAAUUCCUGGAAUUGUUGCCUAAAGAUGAGGCUGCUGAGAUUAAAGAGUUAAUGAAGUACCAAGAGAAUACUGCCGGUAGUAUCAUGAACAAUGAGUUUGUGGCCCUACCGGAGCAUUUAACCGCUGCACAGGCUAUAGAGUAUAUCCGUCAGAUGAGCCCGGAAGCAGAGAUGAUCUACUAUGUCUAUGUGUUAGAUCAGAAAAAGCGCCUGAUUGGAGUAUUGUCUUUAAGAGAUCUCAUUGUGGCUGAUCCCCAAAAAAAGAUAACCCAGAUCAUGGAAGAAGAUGUCAUCAGUGUCCUGGAUACCGAAGACCGUGAAGUAGCGGCAAGGUUAAUUUCAGAUUAUGAUUUCUUAGCCAUUCCCGUUAUUAAUAAACAAGGGAUAAUGGUCGGUAUUAUCACUGUGGAUGAUAUUAUUGAUGUGCUGGAGGAGGAAGUAACCGAAGAUAUCCAUAAGAUGGUUGGUUCGACUGAGUUUUACGAAGACAAACUAAUUAAGGCGGCACCCUUAAAUAGAGCAAAGGCUCGUUUACCCUGGCUUAUAAUAUGUAUGAUUGGAGAAAUAAUUUCCGGUACAGUUAUUGAAUUUCAUUCCGGUAUUUUAGAAGUAAUGGUGGCCUUGGCCUUCUUUAUUCCUAUUAUUAUGGCUAUGGGGGGUAACGUGGGGGCCCAAUCUUCUACCAUCACAGUGAGAGGCUUGGCAACUGGACAACUUCGCUUACCUGAAAUGUGGCAGAAUGUCUGGACCGAAACUAAAGUAGGGUUUUUUAUUGGAAUCACCGUUGGUGUUAUAAUUUCCAUAUUAACCUAUUUUUGGCAGAAUAAUUAUAUUUUGGGUUUAACUAUAGGCCUCUCACUUUGUAUAACGAUUAUCACUGCAGCUACAGUCGGUACCUUGCUACCUCUGGUUUUUACUCGGUUAAAUAUCGAUCCAGCUAUAGCAACUGGACCUUUUAUCACUACCAUAGUUGAUAUUGGUAGCCUGAUCAUCUAUUUUAGUCUGGGCACCUUUUUAUUUGUUUCUUUAGGCGGAUUGUAAAUCUAAUAAAAAAAGAUUAUAUUAUUCUUUGAUAAGAUAUAAGAUAUAGAAAAUAUCAAAAUUAAUAUAGACUAAUUAAUGAGGAAAAAGAGUUCAAUUGAGGAGGAAAAUAUAAUGAGUGCUAUAAUUGAUAUUUAUGCCAGAGAAAUUCUUGAUUCUCGUGGUAAUCCUACUAUAGAAGUCGAAGUACAUCUGGAAAGUGGGGCAAGGGGUAUUACCCAGGUUCCCUCCGGUGCCAGUACUGGCACCUAUGAAGCGGUAGAACUGAGGGAUGAAGAUAAAAAACGAUUUAACGGGAAGGGUGUUUUGAAGGCGGUAAACAACGUCAACGAGGUGAUUGCUCCAGAAUUAAUAGGUUUAGAUGCCCUUAAACAGUGCUAUAUUGACCAGUUGAUGAUCGAUUUAGACGGAACUAGUAAUAAAAGCAAGUUAGGUGCCAAUGCUAUUUUAGGUGUUUCCCUAUCAGUGGCCAAAGCGGCAGCUGACUAUUUGGGAUUACCACUGUAUCGUUAUAUUGGAGGAAGUAAUGCCAAAGAAUUACCGGUACCCUUAAUGAAUAUCUUAAAUGGGGGAAAACAUGCUGAUAGUGGCGUAGAUUUGCAGGAAUUUAUGAUUGUACCGGUAGGAGGACCAAAUUUUGCGGAGAAUUAUCGUAUGGCUGCUGAAACAUUCCAAUCCUUAAAGAGAGUGUUGCAAAAGAAGGGCUAUAAUGUUUCGGUAGGUGAUGAAGGCGGUUUUGCACCACAAUUAAAAUCUAGUCAGGAAGCAUUAGAAAUUAUCGUAGAGUCCAUAAGUGGAGCUGGUUUUCAGCCGGGUAAAGAUAUUUAUAUUGCCCUGGAUGCAGCAGCUUCUGAAUUUUAUCAGAGUGGUAAAUAUGUUCUAACCAGAGAAGGGGUCGAAAGAACAGCUGAAGAAAUGAUUGCCUAUUAUGAAAAAUUAGUGGAAAAAUUUCCCAUUAUUUCCAUUGAAGAUGGUUUAGCAGAAGAUGAUUGGGAAAACUGGACUAAGUUGACUCAGAGGCUGGGAAAUAAAAUACAGAUUGUGGGUGAUGACCUAUAUGUGACCAACAAAGUCCGUUUACAAAAAGGGAUUCAAUUAAGUGCUUCUAAUUCUAUCCUGAUUAAGCUAAAUCAAAUUGGUACCUUAACUGAAACUCUCGAUACUAUCGAAACGGCAAAGCGGGCUGGGUUUACCAAUAUUAUUUCUCAUCGUUCUGGUGAAACAGAAGAUACCACUAUUGCUGAUAUGGCAGUGGCUACCAAUGCUGGACAGAUAAAGGCAGGUUCUUUAUGCAGAACAGACCGAAUUGCUAAAUAUAAUCAAUUAUUAAGAAUUGAAGAAGAAUUAGAAGAACAGGCAAUUUAUCAAGGAAAAGGAGUUUUCCCAAGGUAAUGUUUCAACUAAAAUCUCUUUUGGAAUCGAAAAUAACCUGGGCAAUUAUCUUAUUAUUAAUUUUUUAUAUUACUUUUGUCUUUUCAGGAAAGUAUGCCCAUAUUUUAGAACUAAAGGUUUAUAUUUCCGAUUUAGAAAAUGAGGUUAAAGAAUUAGAAGAAGAUACCCAAUUGCUUAAGGAAAAGAUGGAAUUAUUAAAUACAGAUUCUUAUAUUGAGAAAAUUGCUCGGGAAGAGCUAGAUCUGGUUAAACCAAAUGAAAUUUUAUAUAAAACAACUAAAAACUGACUUAGAUGCAAAAGAAGAGAUAUUUAUUGAUUAAAUUUUAAUAGAUCAAAACAAAAAUGAAAAUUAGGUAAAGUAAUAAAUACUAUUGACUGAUUUUAUAAUUUUAUUUUAUAAUAAUUUAAGUUUGCCGGAGUGGCGGAAUAGGUAGACGCACAGGACUUAAAAUCCUGCGAGCUGCAAAGCUUGUGCCGGUUCGAUUCCGGCCUCCGGCACUUCUCUAACAAUAAGCUGUAGAUUUAAUUGACCUAAAUUUAAUUGAUAAUUGACUUUAGAUUUUAAUGAUGUUAAAAUUAAAAAGUAAUUCAAAAAAAAUAAAAAAUAAAUAAUAUAGCGGGGUGGAGCAGCUAGGUAGCUCGUCAGGCUCAUAACCUGAAGGUCGACGGUUCAAAUCCGUCCCCCGCAACCAUUUUUUAUAAUAUCAAACCUCUAUAAUAAUUUAUAAUUAGAGGUUUUAUUAAUAUUAAUUACUUUGAUGGUAACCUUUCUUUUUUAAUCUUCGUAAAUUGUUAUAUUGGCGGUGUAGCUCAGCUGGCUAGAGCAUGCGGUUCAUACCCGCAGUGUCCUGAGUUCGAAUCUCAGCACCGCCACCUAAUCUAUGAUCGAUAAAAUUUUGACGUAUAUUUCAAAUCUACUAAAUUUUUCCCGGAUAAAACAAAAUAAUUAAUAGUAACAAAAUUUCUUUGAAAUUCCGAUGACAAAAUUGUAUAUCGUAUUACGUAUAACGUAUAUCGUUUAAAUACAGUUGCUAUUCGAAAGUUAAUUGAGGGGUUUCAGGGGAUACCUCCCUUGAAUAUCUUGUUUGCAAAACAAGAUAGCAUUCGUGGAAAAGUAUUUUUCUUUAUUUUUUAACCAGAAUUUACUAUAUACUCGAUACUGUAUACUCAAUACUAUUCUUAAAGGGGUUUCAGGGGAUACCUCCCCUGAAUAUCUGUAAUUGGAUAAAUUAAUAGAAAAAGUAAUUAAGACAAUUGAAAAGUAUAAUUUGAUUGAACAGGGGGAUAAAGUUAUUGUUGCUGUCUCUAGUGGCCCCGAUUCUAUAUGUUUACUUGAUAUAUUAAAUCAUGUUAAGCAUAAAUAUAAUUUAUCUUUAAUUAUUGCCCAUGUUCAUCAUGGUAUUAGAAUUAAAGAAUCAGAUAUUGAAGCGCGCUUUGUUCGUUUAAAAUCUGCUCAUCUAAAGCUGCCUUUUGAACAGUUAACCAUUUCUGUUCCGGACAUUGCUCGCAAUAAGGGUCUGUCUAUUGAGCAAGCAGGUAGAACUAUACGUUACCAAUUUUUUAAUAAUUUGUUAAAUAAGUACCAAGCUCAAAAAAUAGCCCUGGGUCAUAAUGCUGAUGAUCAGGUGGAAACUAUUCUAAUGAGAAUUAUUCGAGGGAGUGGACUGAGAGGCUUAAGGGGUAUUCCCCCUAAAAGAGGUGCCUUUAUCAGGCCUUUAAUUGAAUGUAAUCGUUCAGAAAUUGAAGCCUAUUGUCAGAGAAAUAAUAUUGCUUAUUGUAUUGACUCUUCCAACAAAGAACCCAAGUAUUUACGCAACAAAAUUAGGAAUCAAUUAAUUCCCCUAUUAAAAGAACAAUAUAAUCCUGCCAUAGAUAAACAUUUACUUCAAUUGCAGACCAUUAUUCAGGAUGAACUUGACUUUUGGGAUGAAAUUACUGAGCAAUCUUAUUUAAAAGUAUUUCAUAAAGAAUACCUUUCUUAUCUUAUAUUGGAUAUUGGUAAUUUGAUUGAAAUGCCUCCUGGUCUACAACGAUCUGUUAUUCGCAGAGGUUUACGUCAUUUAAAAUAUUUUUUGGAUGAUAUCCAGUUUAACCAUGUGGAAGAUAUUAGAUUAUUGUGUCUUAAAGAAGGGGGAGAAAAAUAUCUUGAUUUACCUGGUGAAAUUAGGGUGAGAAAAAGCUACCGAAAUUUAAUAAUUGGUUUUCGCGAUAGUAUAAAAAUUCCUGGUGAAGAAAAAAAGCCUGAACUAUGGGAAUAUAAAUUAUCUUUGGGCAAGGAAACCGAGAUAACCCCUUUAGGUUUCAAAUUUAUUACCCAACAAAGUAAUUAUAAUCCUUCUGAUUAUGAAAAACUGAUAAAAAGUAUAUCAAGAAAUGAAAUAUAUGUUGAUUUUGAUAAAUUGAAUUUACCCCUUAAAAUUAGAAGUCGUAGACCGGGUGAUAGGUUUCAACCAUUAAAUAGUAAAUUUUUUAAAAAAGUCAAGUCUUACUAUAUUGAUAAAAAAAUAAACCGUUGUGAUAGAGAAAAAAUUAUGCUUCUAGUAGAUAAUUCUGAUCGUAUUGUCUGGAUUGCCGGUUAUCAAAUGGACGAACGUUUUAAGAUAACCAGAGAGACUAAAAAAAUAUUAUAUAUUAAACUAAUGUCCCUCUAAGUUUAAAUCAUGAUAAUGCAUGUGAUAGAAUAUGAAUAGCAACAAGCAAGAAAAUAAUUAGAGAAAGGAAUGAUUUAAAGAAAAUGAUUGAACAGGAGAAGAUCGAAGAGAUUUUAAUACCUGAGAAUCAGAUACAAAAGAAGGUUAAGCAACUGGGAGAACAGAUUUCACAGGAUUAUGAGGACAAGGAAUUAUUUUUGAUUGGGAUAUUGAAAGGAGCAAUUAUUUUUUUGUCUGACUUAGCACGUUAUAUAAAGGUUCCUAUGUUAAUUGAUUUUAUAGCUAUUUCCAGUUAUGGGGUAUCUACUGAAUCUUCUGGAGUAGUGAGGAUUUUAAAGGAUUUAGAUGAAAAUAUUGAAAAAAAGGAUGUUUUGAUUGUAGAAGAUAUUGUAGAUACCGGACUUACUUUAGAUUAUUUACUUAGAAUGUUACAAUCACGAAAACCUGCUAGUCUAAAAGUAUGUACCCUGCUUAAUAAAAAAGAGAGAAGGAAGAUUAAGGUUCCUAUUGAUUAUUGUGGUUUUAAUAUUCCUGAUAAAUUUGUGGUUGGAUAUGGUUUAGAUUUUAACGGAUUGUACCGCAAUAUUCCUUAUAUCCUGGUCCUAAAAUCAUCAUAUUAUAUUAAAGAGCAGUAAAUUAAUCUUAGUUUGUUUUUAUAAUUUAAAUAUGCUAAAAUUACCUUGCAUUUAAACUAUAAGAAAUAGGAAUUUCUAUUAUAAGGAGAAUCAUAUUGGCGAAAUUAAACCCAAAUAAUCCAAAUAACCAAAAUAAAAACUUUAAAAACGCUGGUUUAUAUCUUUUAAUAUUGAUUGUGGUAAUAUCUAUUUUCAGUUCUUUAUUUCAACCAACUUCUACAAUUAUGGAACUCUCCUAUUCCCAGUUCCUAAAUGAAGUUGAAAAAAAUAAUGUAAUUAGUGUUACUAUUUCUGGAAAUACUAUUACCGGAGUGCUCAGUAAUAAUCAAAAAUUUUCUACUUAUUUACCAGAUGACCCGGAGCUAAUGUCAAUUUUGCGCAGUAAAAAUAUCAAUAUUGAAGCAAAGCCACCAGUAGAAUUAUCCUGGUGGAUGCGAAUACUUUCAUCACUUUUACCAAUGGCCUUGAUAAUUGGUAUCUGGAUUUUUAUGAUGAGACAGAUGCAAGGUGGUGGUAAUAAAGUAAUGUCUUUCGGCAAAAGUCAGGCCAAGUUACUGGGUAAAGAGAAUCCCCAGGUUACCUUUGCUGAUGUGGCUGGUGUGGAUGAAGCAAAAGAAGAAUUGCAGGAAGUAAUAGAAUUCUUGAAAAAUCCAGCAAAAUUUAAACAGCUUGGAGCAAAAAUUCCCAAAGGGAUUCUUCUCUAUGGACCCCCUGGAGCUGGGAAAACCUUGCUAGCACGUGCUGUUGCCGGAGAAGCGGGGGUUGCUUUUUUUAAUAUGAGUGGUUCUGAUUUUGUGGAAAUGUUUGUAGGAGUUGGCGCUUCAAGGGUUAGAGAUUUAUUCAGACAAGCUAAGGCAAAUAAACCUUGUAUUGUUUUUAUAGAUGAAAUUGAUGCAGUUGGUCGGCAUAGAGGUGCUGGUUUAGGUGGAGGACAUGAUGAAAGAGAGCAGACCUUAAAUCAAUUACUGGUGGAAAUGGAUGGCUUUGAUCAAAACACGGAUGUUAUUCUUAUUGCGGCAACCAAUAGACCUGAUGUUUUAGACCCGGCCUUACUGAGACCGGGACGUUUUGAUCGAAGGAUAGUAGUAGACCGCCCGGAUUUGAUUGGCCGAGAACAGAUAUUAAAAGUGCACACCAAAGGUAAGCCCUUAGCGGAAGAUGUUGAUUUAAAUGUUCUGGCUAGAAGAACACCAGGAUUUGUCGGUUCAGAUUUAGCUAAUCUAGUUAACGAAGCUGCUUUAUUAGCUUCUCGCAGAGGUAAAAAAUAUAUUACUAUGGAAGAAUUUGAAGCCUCUAUCGAUAAGGUAAUUGCUGGACCGGAGAAAAAGAGUAGAAUUAUGAAUGAGAAGGAAAAAUCAAUUGUUGCUUAUCAUGAAUCUGGUCAUGCCUUAAUAGCAAAGUUAUUGCCGAAUUGUGACCCGGUGCAUAAGGUUUCUAUAAUUCCCCGGGGAAGUGCAGCAUUAGGCUAUACCCUACAAUUACCAACUGAAGACCGUUAUCUUAUCAGCAAAUCUGAGUUGAUGGAAAGAUUAACUGUUUUACUGGGUGGUAGGGUAGCUGAAGAACUUAUUUUUAAGGAUGUUACCACCGGAGCUCAGAAUGACCUGGAAAGGGCGACCAAGAUUGCCCGGCAGAUGGUAACUGAAUUUGGUAUGAGUGAAUCUUUAGGACCUAUUACUCUGGGCAGGAAGGAACAUCAAGUCUUUUUGGGUAAAGAUAUUGCUGAGGAUAGAAACUAUAGUGAUGCAAUAGCCUUUCAAAUUGAUAAGGAAGUAGAAAAAAUUAUUGAAAAUGCUUAUCAAAAGGCGAAAGAAAUACUCACCAAAAAUAGAAUGAAACUAAAGAAGAUAGCAAAGACUUUAUUGGAAAAAGAAACUUUAGAAGGAGCAGAAUUAGAUAAUCUUUUAAAAGGCGCUAAACUGGCUACCGGAAAGCAAGCUAUGGCUUAAUCAUGAUUUAAACAACUUGGAAAAUAUUUUGAUUUUUUUGAGAUUAAAUAUUAAUAUAAUAAUUAGAUAUAUGGAAUUAUUCAAUUUCAAAGAAAUAGGAGGUGAAAAAGUUAAAGAAAGAAUAUAGAAAAAAAUAAUGGUUACUUGAAUUUAAUUGAUAAAUAAAAUUUUACUGAUUAUUUAUCAAGAAAAGAACAAAAGGAGGAAAAUGAUUUGAAAAGUAAAACUAUACAUCUUUUUUUAAUUAUUUUCUUAGUUAUGACUAUGCUAAACACUGUUAACGCACAGGUAAAGGACCCAGAAAGGAUGGUCUAUGCCACCAUCGGUGGACCGGAGACUAUGGAUCCCCAUUGGAGUUAUGAUACUGCCAGUGGUGAGAUUAUCUUCCAGGUUUAUGAUAACCUUAUUGCCUAUGAUGGAGAGAGUAUAGAAAAAUUUGUACCUAUGUUGGCAUUACAGGUUCCCUCCGAAAAAAAUGGUUUGAUUAAGUAUGGUGGAAUAGAUUAUAUUUUUCCCAUCAGAUAUGGUGUUCGGUUUCAUAAUGGUGCUCUCAUGACUCCAGAGGAUAUUGAAUAUAGCUUUGAAAGAGGCAUGAUAUUUGACCGCGCUGGGGGGCCAUGCUGGAUGUUGUUAGAGCCACUUUUAGGGGUUGGUAGCAUUGAAGAGCUUGCUGUUAAACUGGCUGGUGUAGAAAAUUAUGGAGAUAUGUUUAAGGAUGAAGAGCUUUUGCCGGAAUAUAAAGAGGCAAUGAUAAAGGUCUAUACUGACUAUGUUGAUAGAGCAGUAGAAGUUCAAGGGAAUAAUGUUGUUUUCCAUCUGGCACAACCCUAUGCUCCAUUCUUGAAUAUUCUGGCUCAUGGAGGUGGUUGGGCUUCUAUUAUUAACAAAGAAUGGUCUAUCCAACAUGGAGCCUGGGAUGGUAAAGCAGAUACCUGGUGGCUUUAUCAUGACCCGCAAAAUGAAGAAGAUCCAUUAUAUGAUAUAGCUAAUGGAACGGGUCCUUUCAAGCUGGUAAGGUGGGUUCCAGAAGAAAUCAUCAUGCUGGAGAGAUUUGAGGAGCACUGGAGAGGGCCGGCACAAUUAAAAGAGGUUGUUUACCAGUAUGUAAAUGAAUGGACUACCCGUAAACUGAUGCUGCAAAGAGGAGAUGCCGAUAUAGUCUAUGUUCCGGUAACCAAUAUGCAAGAGGUAAUGGAAAUGGAAGGGGUGGAAUUAAUAGCCGGUUUACCGACCUUGUCUAAUACAGUAACUAAUAUGCCCUGGACUUUGAAUGCAGAAGGUAAUGCUAAUUUAGGUAGUGGGAAAUUGGAUGGAGAGGGCAUCCCCCCUGAUUUCUUCUCCGAUAUUCAUGUUCGAAAGGGAUUUUCCUACCUAUUCCCCUAUGAUAUCUUUAUUGAAAAAUCAAUGCAUGGACAGGCUAAACGUAAUCCUGGACCUUUCCCUGAUCCCUUAUAUGGUUACACAGAUGACCCCGAACUUUAUUAUGAAUUUAAUAUUGAAAAGGCAAAAGAAGAAUUUCAACAAGCCUGGGGUGGAGAAUUGUGGGAGAAGGGAUGUAAAUUUAACAUCUUCUACAACGAAGGUAAUGAUGUACGUAAGACUGCCUGUGACAUGAUUUCUACCUAUGCCAAAAUUGUCAAUCCUAAAUUUGAACUUACUCCAGUAGGUGUGCAGUGGUCUUCAUACCUGAAACAGUUUCUAGCUGAGCAACUUCCCAUGUAUACCAUCGGAUGGUUAGCAGAUUACCCUCAUCCCCAUAACUGGGCACCAACCUAUCUGGGAAGUAAUGGUACUUAUAGUGCUUAUUAUGGAAAGGCUUAUACGGAAUGGGCUAAAGAAAAUGUGGAUCCUCUUAUUGAUAAAGCACUGAAAUCGACAGAUCCAAAAGAACAGGAGAGUAUCUACUUAGAAUUGACCAAAAUAGCCCAUGACCAGGCUGUAGCACUAUAUCUAUACCAACCUAUCGGAAUUCAUGUUCAGAGAGAUUGGGUCAAGGGGUGGUACUAUAAUCCAGUAAUUUCAGGUUUACCAGAAGGUGCUGAUUUCUAUUAUAUCUAUAAAGAGUAAGAAAAUUGCUAAGCAUUAUUUUCACAAUGAUUAAAUUUUAUUAAGUAGUAACAUUGAAAUGGAGUGGAAGUCAUCAAUGAAUUUUUCCACUCCAUUAUAUUUUCAUAUGGUUUCAAUUUUAUUUUUGUAAAUGUUAUUAUCUCUAAUUUGUAAAAGAUAGUUUUAUAAUUUUCUUAAGAAGGAAAUAAAAAAUGUUGUCCUAUAUUAUAAGACGUUUAUUAAUUCUCCCUUUGAUUUUAUUAGGAGUUACCUUCCUGAUAUUUUGUCUUUUUUCACUAUUAAGUCCAAUGGAAAGACUGGCAACUUAUAUUAAUAAUCCCAGUGUAUUGAAGAAUCCUCAAGCAGCCCAGAGGUUAAUUGAUAAGUAUCAUCUGGAUGAUCCCUUCCCCACCGGUUAUAUUUACUGGUUGAAAUCACUACUAAAGCUUGAUCUUGGCUGGUCUGCCACAGCGAAUCAACCAGUGUGGGAGGCUAUUAUGCAGCGUCUUCCUGCCACUAUGGAGCUUGUUUUAUAUUCUAUUAUUCCGGUAAUUUUAGUGGGUAUCUGGUUAGGGGUUAUCUCCGCAGUGCAUCACAAUGAUUUAUUAGACCAGACCAUUCGGGUAACAGCCAUCAUUGGCUGGUCUUUGCCUACUUUUAUCUUUGGCUUGUUGAUAUUAUUUAUAUUUUAUGGUAUUUUAGGCUGGUUACCACCAGGAAGGUUGAGUACCUGGGCCCAGUAUAUUGUCUAUACCAGUAAAAGUUUUAAACAUUUUACCCAUUUUAUUACUAUUGAUGCUCUCCUGAAUGGUCGGCUCGAUAUUUUCUGGGAUGCUUUGAAACACCUGAUUGCACCUAUUAUUACCCUGUCUUAUAUCUCCUGGGCUUAUUUAUUGAGAAUUACCCGUUCCAGUAUGCUGGAAACCUUAAGAAAAGAUUAUAUUCGUACUGCUCGUGCCAAAGGGGUUGAUGAGAAAACCGUUAUCUACCAACAUGCCAGAAAGAAUGCCCUGAUACCAGUUGUUACCGUAGCUGGAAUGAUGAUUAUUGGUAUGUUGGGAGGAGUGGUCAUUACUGAAACUGUAUUUACCUAUCCUGGAUUGGGCUUUUGGGCUGCCUCUUCUGCUCAACAGCUGGAUUAUGGCUCAGUCAUCGGGUUUGCCCUCCUAUUUGCCUUUAUUAUGGUCAUUGGAAAUUUAAUUGUAGAUAUUUCUUAUGCCUUAAUUGAUCCCAGGGUAAGAUUGGAGUAAAGCUAUUAUGAAUCGAAUAUUCAGAAAAUUAAUAAGCAAUACUGCCUCUCUAAUUGGGUUAUUACUUCUUUUGGUAUUUAUUCUAAUAGCUGUUUUUGCUCCUUAUCUUGCUCCCCCUUUAUUUCCCGAUCCCUAUCAAAUACCCCGUAUGUCCUGGGAUGUGGAACCCCAACCACCGGGAUUUCCUAUCUCUGAUGAUAUGAGAUUUGUCUAUGAAAGCUUAGGGAAACCUGUUACCAGAGACAAAGCCGUUUUUGGCACUGCUCAGGGGGGUUAUGAUAUAUUCUAUGGAUUGAUAUGGGGUACCAGAACUGCUUUUCGCAUUGGAAUUAUUACCGUAACCUUAUCUAUGUUAAUCGGGGUUAUUUUAGGUUCCCUGUCAGCUUACUUUGGUGGUUGGUUAGAUGAAUUAUUAAUGCGCAUAACGGAUAUUUUUCUCUCUAUUCCCUUUCUGGUUGCGGCAAUGGUUUUGACUACUAUCUUAGGUCGUGGUUUAGAUAAAGUAAUGAUAGCAUUGGUUGCCUUUGGUUGGAUGGGGUAUGCCAGGGUUAUCAGGGGGAGUAUUUUAUCUACCAAAGAGGAAGUUUAUGUAAUGGCUGCUAAAGCCUUAGGAGUUAAAGAUUUUCGUAUUAUAUCCUUUCAUCUACUACCUAACACUAUUUUUCCAGUACUGGUACAGGCGAGUAUGAAUAUUGGUUCUAUGGUAGUUACUGCAGCUGCUCUUAGCUUUUUAGGGGUGGGGGCACCCUUAGGGUAUGCGGAUUGGGGACAAAUGGUUAGUUUUGCUCGUAAUUGGAUUAUUGGUUCGCCGGGAAAGGCUGGAGAAUAUUGGUAUGCAGUAUUUUUCCCUGGUAUUUUUAUUGUUUUAUUUGUUCUUUCCUGGAAUCUGGUGGGAGAUACUCUGAGGGAUAUUUUAGAUCCCCGACUAAGGGGUGAGCUAUAAUGGAAAAUAAGAAUAAAUCCCAAGUUUUGGAAGUAAAGAAUUUAAAAACCUAUUUUUUUACUGAGGAUGGAAUAGUAAAAGCAGUUGACGGGGUUGAUUUUGAAGUAUACCAAGGAGAAACAUUAGGAUUGGUUGGUGAAUCUGGCUGUGGUAAAAGUGUUACCGCUUUUUCAAUCCUUAAAUUGUUGGAUUACCCUGGUAAGACUAUAGAAGGGCAAAUUCUCUUUAAAGGAGAUGAUUUACUUAAGAAAAGUGAGGAGCAGAUGCGUAAAAUAAGAGGAAAAGAGAUUGCUAUGAUUUUUCAGGAACCAAUGACUUCUUUGAAUCCUGUUUUUACUAUAGGUUUUCAGAUUGCUGAAUCUUUGAAAGUUCAUUAUAAAAUGAGUAACCAGGAAGCCAGAAAGAAAGUAAUCGAACUUUUAGAAAAGGUAGGGAUACCAAUUCCAGAACAGCGAGUUGAUGAGUAUCCCCAUCAAUUAAGUGGAGGUAUGAGACAGAGAGCAAUGAUUGCUAUGGCUUUGGCCUGUGACCCGGUAUUAUUGAUUGCUGAUGAACCCACUACUUCUUUAGAUGUUACUAUUCAAGCCCAGAUAUUAGAAUUGAUGAAAACCCUUUUAAAACAAUUUAACAGCUCAC